UACGUAGGCAGCGAGCGUUGUUCGGAGUUACUGGGCGUAAAGCGUGCGUAGACGGUCAUGUAAGUCGGGUGUGAAAGCCCCGGGCUCAACCUGGGAAUUGCAUUCGAGACUGCAUGGCUAGGAUGCGGAAGAGGGAAGCGGAAUUUCCGGUGUAGCGGUGAAAUGCGUAGAUAUCGGAAGGAACACCAGUGGCGAAAGCGGCUUCCUGGUCCAGCAUCGACGUUCAGGCACGAAAGCGUGGGGAGCAAACAGG
rnacentral:rRNA from 1 species